UACGUAGGGGGCAAGCGUUGUCCGGAUUUAUUGGGCGUAAAGAGCGUGUAGGCGGCCAUACAGGUCCGUUGUGAAAACUCGAGGCUCAACCUCGAGACGUCGAUGGAAACCGUAUGGCUAGAGUCCGGAAGAGGAGAGUGGAAUUCCUGGUGUAGCGGUGAAAUGCGCAGAUAUCAGGAAGAACACCCGUGGCGAAGGCGGCUCUCCGGGACGGUACUGACGCUGAGACGCGAAAGCGUGGGGAGCGAACAGG
rnacentral:rRNA from 1 species